rnacentral:misc_RNA from 1 species
UAUUUGCUAUUCAUAGCUGGCACCAGGUGAACAGAAAUUCAAUACAUUCUUUACCUGACCUAUCUUAUCUGACACCAUUACUAUUUUAUUAUAGUUUGUUUCCAAAACAUUAUUUAGUAUCUGUAUGCCAGUGUCACACCGAGCCUGCAAGUAGUUCUUAGGUUGGUUAAUUUUUGUAUCACUGGACCUUAAAGACCCUUUUCUAUUGCUGUUAUGACAAUUCGUUGAUUGUAGCCUCUGUGUGUCACAGUCAUAAAUCAGCUGGCUUUGUUUUAGUUCUACAGCAUAAGCAUUUAAAUUUGAACUCAGAUGCAGUCCUGUUUUAAUUUAUUUAUUUUAAUAAAACUAUUUUUAUUUUAAAUUCUUUGAUUAGUUUUUUUGGUAAAUUUGUUAAUUUUAAUAUAUUAUACAUAUUAACAUUCUCUUACAUAAUCAAGCAUAGGCUUGAUUAUGCUGACACUGUUUAUCUUGACAUUACUGAGGAGCAA